rnacentral:rRNA from 1 species
CCUACGGGUGGCAGCAGUGAGGAAUAUUGGUCAAUGGACGAGAGUCUGAACCAGCCAAGUAGCGUGAAGGAUGACUGCACUAUGGGUUGUAAACUUCUUUUAUAUGGGAAUAAAACGUACCACGUGUGGGAUAUUGUAUGUACCAUAUGAUUAAGGAUCGGCUAACUCCGUGCCAGCAGCCGCGGUAAUACGGAGGAUCCGAGCGUUAUCCGGAUUUAUUGGGUUGAAAGGGAGCCUAGGUGGAUUGUUAAGUCAGUGGUGAAAGUUUUCGGCUCAACCGUAGAAUUGCCGUUGAAACUGGCAGUCUUGCGUCCAGUACAGGUUGGCGCAAUUCGUGGUGUAGCGGU